rnacentral:rRNA from 1 species
AGUGAACGCUGGCGGUAGGCCUAACACAUGCAAGUCGAACGGCAGCACAGUAAGAGCUUGCUCUUACGGGUGGCGAGUGGCGGACGGGUGAGGAAUACAUCGGAAUCUACUUUUUCGUGGGGGAUAACGUAGGGAAACUUACGCUAAUACCGCAUACGACCUACGGGUGAAAGCAGGGGAUCUUCGGACCUUGCGCGAUUGAAUGAGCCGAUGUCGAAUUAGCUAGUUGGCGGGGUAAAGGCCCACCAAGGCGACGAUCCGUAGCUGGUCUGAGAGGAUGAUCAGCCACACUGGAACUGAGACACGGUCCAGACUCCUACGGGAGGCAGCAGUGGGGAAUAUUGGACAAUGGGCGCAAGCCUGAUCCAGCCGUACCGCGUGGGUGAAGAAGGCCUUCGGGUUGUAAAGCCCUUUUGUUGGGAAAGAAAAGCAGCAGGUUAAUACCCCGCUGUUCUGACGGUACCCAAAGAAUAAGCACCGGCUAACUUCGUG